GGUGGCAAAAAACUUUAAAACGGGCAAAAUAAAGUUCCCUAAUGUGAUCUGCAGGCCUCCUGCUGCCCAGCAAUGCUCCCCGCCCUGAAGUCUGAAUUGCUGCUUUCCCCCACAGUUUUUCUCCCCCGCCCUGCAAUUUUUCAAAAAGAGGUUUCUGUCCCAAAUGAGCCACAAAAUGGUUCCUCUUCAUAAAAUGGUGGUCAGAAGUGAUCUCCAAGGUCAUUUCAGGCUAUCUCUGAACCAUGGAUACAAGAAAUUAACCCUCUUUUGGCCGGCUAUUUUUUAAUGUAUCAAGGUAGGAUGUCAGCCACCCAACUGCGGAGAGUGAGCUGAAAUAGGGAGUCCAGAUCCUCAGAGCACUCAGCCAGAAGGGGCAUGAUUGAAAUGAAGGUGCUUUAAGCUGGCGGAACAUCAUGAGGAUUGUAGCCUGCACUACUUUUAUAUCUACAAAUGUUAACCCAAAUGACAUUUCCAUCCCAAGAAAAUGUCUGACUACCUUUUUGUAAAGAUAUCCACAAAAGGCCAACAGAUCCUCCAACCCCUCCUCUUUCUGAAAAUGUUCCUGUGGGGCAUUCCUAUGUCAUGAAAGUCCCCUCAUCCAUGAAAUACACAACCAGCGCUCAAUUGAA